rnacentral:rRNA from 1 species
GAUGAACGCUGGCGGCGUGCCUAGUACAUGCAAGUCGAACGGACGGACGAGAAGCUUGCUUGUCUGAUGUUAGCGGAGGACGGGUGAGUAACGCGUGGAUAACCUACCUAUAAGACUGAGAAAACUUCGGGAAAGCGGAGAUAAUACCGGAGAAUAUUUUGAACCGCAUGGUUGAAAGGAGAAAGGCGGUCUUGGUGGAAGUUAUAGAUGGAUCCCCGCUGGAUUAGCUAGUUGGUAAGGUAACGGCUUACUAAGGCAACGAGGCAUAUCCGACCGGAUAGGGUGAUCGGCCACACUGGAACUUAGACACGGUCCAUACUCCUGCGGGAGGGCGCAGUAUGGUAUCUUCCGCAAUGGGCGAAAGCCUUACGGAGCAACGGCGCGUGAGUGAUGAAGGUCUUCCGAUCGUAAUACUCUGUUAUGAGUGAAGAACAUAUGUGUAAGUAACUGUGCACAUCUUGACGGUACCUAAUCAGAAAGCCACGGCUAACUACGUG